rnacentral:sRNA from 1 species
AUUUAAUUCACCUACAAUUGAUAAUGAACAAAUUCAGUAUGUUAUAUAAAAAACAAGUAGAAAAUGGUGAUGAUCGUAUAGUUUUUUAUAAUGUUCUUUAAAGCUCAGUUUCAUGUGUUAAUCCUUAUUUUAUGUGGAAUUUAUUAUUAUUAUACCCUUUCAGCUUGUAUGAGUUCUUCUAUGAAUAGUCAAGCUUCAUUGGACAACACAGAUGAUGAACAACCAAAACAACCAAUUAAAACUACAAUGUUAUUGAAAAUUCAGCAAAACAUAGGUGUGAUUGCAGCAUUUACAGUUGCAGUCCUUGCUGCGGGUAUCUCCUUUCAUUACUUCAGUGAUUAGGGUGAGGCACAAAGAGUUUCUUGAUCAUCCAGAGAACAUUGACAGACAAUUAUGAAUAAUAAAGAUGUUAACAAUCCAUCUGUAUUUAAAACACUAGCAGCCAGAUCUGCUGCCAUGAUGCCUAUUUGGUGUGUUUCUGAUUAAAAUGAAAUCACAA